rnacentral:rRNA from 1 species
AGAUGGACUAAUACCGCAUACGCUCUACGGAGGAAAGCGGGGGUCGCAAGACCUCGCACUAUAGGAGCGGCCGAUAUCGGAUUAGCUAGUUGGCGGGGUAAAAGCCCACCAAGGCGACGAUCCGUAGCUGGUCUGAGAGGAUGAUCAGCCACACUGGAACUGAGACACGGUCCAGACUCCUACGGGAGGCAGCAGUGGGGAAUUUUGGACAAUGGGCGCAAGCCUGAUCCAGCCAUGCCGCGUGAGUGAAGAAGGCCUUCGGGUUGUAAAGCUCUUUCGGCAGGAACGAAAUGGUUCGUGCUAAUACCACGGAUUGAUGACGGUACCUGAAGAAGAAGCACCGGCUAACUACGUGCCAGCAGCCGCGGUAAUA